rnacentral:rRNA from 1 species
UACGUAGGGUGCAAGCGUUAAUCGGAAUUACUGGGCGUAAAGCGUGCGCAGGCGGGCUUUUAAGCCAGACGUGAAAUCCCCGGGCUUAACCUGGGAAUGGCGUUUGGGACUGGAAGUCUGGAGUGCGGCAGAGGAGACUGGGAUUCCUGGUGUAGCAGUGAAAUGCGUAGAUAUCAGGAGGAACACCGAUGGCGAAGGCAGGUCUCUGGGCUGACACUGACGCUCAUGCACGAAAGCGUGGGGAGCAAACAGG